rnacentral:misc_RNA from 1 species
AACGAGGCCGACCUGCGGCUGAGUUACCUGCGGAGGGAUCAUUACCGAGUGUGGCCCCCCCCCAAAAAAAAGGGGGGUACCUCCCGUCCUUUGCAGGGCCCUUUAGGGCUUUUUGAACUUUGCUUCGGCGGGGUUAUCCCGCCGGAACACCCUCAAGAAAAUCUUUUAUAAACUGUUGUCUGAGUUACUUUGCGAAAUAAAACAAAACUUUUAACAACGGAUCUCAGAUCGGAAGAGCAC